GACGAACGCUGGCGGCGUGCUUAACACAUGCAAGUCGAACGAAGAGCGAUGGAAGCUUGCUUCUAUCAAUCUUAGUGGCGAACGGGUGAGUAACGCGUAAUCAACCUGCCCUUCAGAGGGGGACAACAGUUGGAAACGACUGCUAAUACCGCAUACGAUCUAAUCUCGGCAUCGAGGAUAGAUGAAAGGUGGCCUCUACAUGUAAGCUAUCACUGAAGGAGGGGAUUGCGUCUGAUUAGCUAGUUGGAGGGGUAACGGCCCACCAAGGCGAUGAUCAGUAGCCGGUCUGAGAGGAUGAACGGCCACAUUGGGAAUGAGACACGGCCCAGACUCCUACGGGAGGCAGCCGGGGGGAAUCUUCCGCAAUGGACGAAAGUCUGACGGAGCAACGCCGCGGGAGGGAUGACGGCCUUCGGGUUGUAAAGCUCUGUUAAUCGGGACGAAAGGCCUUCUUGCGAAUAGUGAGAAGGAUUGACGGUACCGGAAUAGAAAGCCACGGCUAACUACGUG
rnacentral:rRNA from 1 species